rnacentral:lncRNA from 1 species
GGAAAGUAAUAUAAAUAUUUGUGUUAUUGUCAAAUUUAACUUUAUUGUGCUUUUAUGUGACAAGAAUUUAUAACACUUCAGAUAAAGCUGGACCACUCUGAGAAGUUGUGCUGCAAAUUUAUCCAGGGUCCUUGCCCUACUUUUCUCUUCAGUCCCCUACCCAAAUUUAGCACACUGCAUUGUGCUGCUUCCCAUAUCAUCUCUUAGGCUGUGGAUGCAAAGGGCUGUCUACAGCAAUUUCUGCCUGGCUGGAAGGAAAGAAUUUAAUGUGUUGGUACAACUGUGGGUCUGUAGGCUAGUUAGGAAUAAUGGGCUGCAAGAUGGGAUAAAUAAGACUUCUUCUUAGAUUAAUGACAUAACUAUUAGUGGAGGCAGAUUAAUUAUUAGGAACAGACUCAAGAUUAUUGUUACAUCUCUGUAUUCUAUGAAGAAACAACAGCAAGUAAAUUCAGGAUGGCUAGAAUAAGUACAUGGGAUGGAGGUUGGAAAUAUAUUUGAGAAGGCAGAGCCUGAUCAUUGUGUGCCUGCCUGGCUAAAGAAUUCGGCCUUUAACCUGAUAGAGAAUUGGGGUAAUAGAUUCCAAAUGGAGUAGAUUCCAAUAGUUUCCCAAAUGGAAAUAGUAAAUUUUUUUUUCUGAUUGUAAAAGGAGCACAUGCUUGUUAUAAAAUGCACACGGGCAACACCAAAAAAUGUUGACAUUCUCUAGAGAUAACCACUGCUAAUAGUUGAUUGUGUAACCUUGUAGAAAGGAAUGUCAUGAUCGGUUUUGCAGCAGUGUGGAGGAUGGAGAGGACAAGAGAGGGAGGAGAGUGGAGCAGGAGACUCUUAGGGAGUUCCUGGUGAGAAAUGAGGAGAACUUGUUCUUAGUGACAGCUAUGGAGAUGGGAGAGGGGCAGGGCUGGGGGAAGGUCACAGGCAUUUAGGAGGUAGGUGAGAUUCAGUGACCAGCUGGAUGAGUGGGUGAAGGACACCCCAGAAAAGUGUCCGGGAAGGUCGCUGAGUGGAAUGCCCAGAACCUGGGUCCAAAUUGUGAGGUCAUUGAGGUGGCGUAAAAGGAAAAAAUAGCAGUUUUACCAACUGCAUAAUUCCAGAGUGGAAACUGUAUCCUUUGUUCUAAUUUUCUUCUGGUUUUUCCAGGCUGAUUUAGAGAGGGAGUGUAAAAGUAAGAAUUCAAUUCUGUUUUGAUAGAUAAGAGCUGUUAAAUCUAUGUCCUUUUCUUUACUAAUUAUGUUUCUCUCUUGAAUUAGUUGAGGAUAGCAAGUUCUUUUAAGGAGUUGCUUCUGUUUUGGUGUAUAACUAUAGCAUUAGCUUUUAUAGUUCACAAAUUUCCUGUUAGAAUCUUUAAUUUUUUUAUUAUUUAAAAAUUAAAAAUUUUUUUUUUCAUUUUUGGCCACCCUGCGGCAUAUGGAGUUCCCUGGCCAGGGAUCAGAUCUCUGAGUUGCAGUUGUGACCUAUGCCAUAGCUGCAGGCAACACCAGGUCCUUAACUCACUGUGCCAGGCUGGGGAUCGAACCUGUGUCUCUGUGCUCCAGAGAUGCUCCUGAUCCCAUUGUGCCACAGCAGGAAUGCCAGAAUCUUUAAAUUUUUAUUCUGAAGAAUUGGGAUCGGAGUGCAGUGCGAGAGGCACUUGGGCAAGUUGUUGGGAGAGAUUCUUUGACCCUGAAUCAAGCAUUGUUUUGGUGUCUAGUAGUACCUUGCUUUCACCAGGUUCUGCUAUGUUCCAUUGAGAACAGGCCUAUGGAAUUCAGUGUGAAACCUCUUUUCUGUGUUGUAUAAAAAUAUGCAUAACAGUGCAGUGUUGGCAUGGACUCUUGAGUUCUGGGACACAGUGAAGGAUCCUCUCUCUCCAGGUAACUAAAAGAUGAUUGAUUGGUAAUGCCUGGAAGUUGUGGAACUAAGCAUUUGAGUUCCUGUCAUGGUGUGGUGGAAACGAAUCCAACUAGGAACCAUGAGGGUGUGGGUUAGAUCCCUGGCCUCGCUCAGUGGGUUAAGGAUCUGGCGUUGCCAUGAGCCGUGGUGUAGGUCACAGACAUGGCUUGCAUCCUGUGUUGCUGUGGCUGGCAGCUGUAGUGCCUGUUGGACCCCUAGCCUGGGAAUCUCCAUAUGCUGG